GUCUAUACGAAUUUAAGGGCAGUGUGGAGGUCUCAGCGGUGUUUGUCUAGCCGAGUGUCCAAUUUGGGUUCCAGACACUCGAUGGCAAAACACCGCUGUUUGGGAGUUUAAAAUGGCCGCCGCCACGUGUUCGUCUCCCGAAUGGCGGCCACCCAGAGAACAAAGAACCCACUACAUGAAUUGCCAAACCCGUCAGCGUUUCCAUUUUGUUUGCCCGGGCGGUACUGAAUGUUAAAGUCAAAGGGCUGCAGCGCCAAAACUCCAGCGCAGCAGCCUGGCAUUGUCCCAGCCACCCGGUUCAGCUAUACUAACGGGUUGUGAUCCGUGAGCAAAGAAAAGGGCUGUCCAUACAAAUACGGCUGCAACUUCUUUAGGGCCUACACUACAACCAGGCAUUCCUUCUCGAUAGUGGCAUAGCUUACUUCUCUGGGUAACAACUUGCGACAGAUGUAAGCCACGGGAUGUUCUCCGCCAUCGGCCCCGACUUGGCUCAGCACUGCCC